rnacentral:tRNA from 1 species
AAUGAUUAAAGCUUACACUAUUUCUAUUAAAUUGAAAAUUUAAUAUUUUUUAAGCAAAUCAAUU